rnacentral:rRNA from 1 species
UAAUAAUCCAUAGAUCAUAGAUUGUGGAACGAAUUAUGGUCGAAAGUUCCGGCGCUUUAGGAUUGGUCUGCGGCCUAUCAGGUAGUAGUGGGUGUAACGGACCCACUAGCCAGUGACGGGUAUGGGCCUUGAGAGAGGGAGCCCAGAGAUGGAUUGUGAGACACGAAUCCAGGCCCUACGGGGCGCAGCAGUCGCGAAAACUUCACAAUGGGGGCAACCCCGAUGAGGGAAUUCCUAGUGCUGACACUUUUUUGUGUCAGCUUUUCUUUAGCGUAGAUAACUAGAGGAAUAAGGGCUGGGUAAGACGGGUGCCAGCCGCCGCGGUAAUACCCGCAGCCCGAGUGGUGGUCGACUUUAUUGAGUCUAAAACGUUCGUAGCCGGUUCGCUAAAUCCUUGGGUAAAUCGGAAAGCUUAACUUUCCGAAUUCCGAGGAGACUGGCGAACUUGGGACCGGGAGAGGCAAGAGGUACUUGGGGGGUAGGGGUAAAAUCCUGUAAUCCUCCAAGGACCACCGGUGGCGUAGGCGUCUUGCUAGAACGGAUCCGACGGUGAGGGACGAAGCCCUGGGUCGCAAACGGGAUUAGAUACCCCGGUAGUCCAGGGUGUAACGCUGCAGACUUGGUGU